GAUCACAUAUGUUCUGUUUACUCUUGAGUUUAUGGAUGGAACAAUAUGUAGCCAUUAUUACCAUUAUUACAUGAUUCUUGAUGAGAAUGAUAACCCUCCAGUUUUCCAGAGACAACAAUAUAACGCAACAAUACCUGAGAAUUUUCCGGUAAACCAAAUAAUACCAAAUUUGAAUAUAACAGCUACUGAUGCUGAUGACAAUCCCAACCUAGAAUAUUCUUUGAAACCUGCUGGCCAG